rnacentral:rRNA from 1 species
UGGGGAAUUGUUCACAAUGGGCGCAAGCCUGAUGACGCAACGCCGCGUGGGGGAUGAAGGCCUUCGGGUCGUAAACCCCUGUCGAAUGGGACGAAUAGCCUGCGAUUUAACAAAACGCAGGAAUGACGGUACCGUUAAAGGAAGCCACGGCUAACUCUGUGCCAGCAGCCGCGGUAAUACAGAGGUGGCAAGCGUUGUUCGGAAUUACUGGGCGUAAAGGGCGCGUAGGCGGCCUUCUAAGUCAGACGUGAAAUCCCCCGGCUUAACCUGGGAACUGCGUCUGAUACUGGGAGGCUUGAGUAUGGGAGAGGGAUGUAGAAUUCCAGGUGUAGCGGUGAAAUGCGUAGAUAUCUGGAGGAAUACCGGUGGCGAAGGCGGCAUCCUGGACCAUAACUGACGCUGAGGCGCGAAAGCUAGGGGAGCAAACGG